AUUUUAUUUCAUAAAAAUCCAAUCAUCCAAAACAAACUUGACUUUGUAAAGCCUUUACAAAGUCAUUAUAAAUCCAAAUCACCUAAAACUAAUGCUUAUCAAAAUCUUAUCAAGUUUGUUCUUAGAUUCUAUCCUCUGAUCUCCAAAAAAACCUCAGAGUCAUUGUCAAGGCUUGGUUUUGUGCCUCAAGGUCUGAUUUUGAUCCUUGUUGUUCAUAACCAGCCUUCUCCAGGUAUCAAUAUUUAGUUUUUCUAGAUAAUUUGCUAGAAUUUACUCUUAACUUCUUCCUAAAGAUGCUUAUAUCAUUUAUUUUUCCAAUCUAUUUUUUUUUGCCUUAUUUAUGGCCCUACAAAAUAAAUAGAAGUCACUUUUCUAAAAAAACAACAUUACUAUUUAAAGUUUUUCUACCUUCCUAUC
rnacentral:lncRNA from 1 species